UGAGUCCAUAAGUUUCUGUACGUAGGAGGUGGAUGAAGUGAAGUUCAUAGGCCUGGCUUGCCAAGGCUGAAA